rnacentral:rRNA from 1 species
UGGGGAAUUUUGGACAAUGGGCGCAAGCCUGAUCCAGCCAUGCCGCGUGCAGGAUGAAGGCCUUCGGGUUGUAAACUGCUUUUGUACGGAACGAAAAGACUCUGGUUAAUACCUGGGGUCCAUGACGGUACCGUAAGAAUAAGCACCGGCUAACUACGUGCCAGCAGCCGCGGUAAUACGUAGGGUGCGAGCGUUAAUCGGAAUUACUGGGCGUAAAGCGUGCGCAGGCGGUUAUAUAAGACAGAUGUGAAAUCCCCGGGCUCAACCUGGGAACUGCAUUUGUGACUGUAUAGCUAGAGUACGGCAGAGGGGGAUGGAAUUCCGCGUGUAGCAGUGAAAUGCGUAGAUAUGCGGAGGAACACCGAUGGCGAAGGCAAUCCCCUGGGCCUGUACUGACGCUCAUGCACGAAAGCGUGGGGAGCAAACAGGAUUAGAUACCCCGGUAGUCCCUGAGCGGGCUGGCAAGGCGCAU